rnacentral:rRNA from 1 species
UACGGAGGGUGCAAGCGUUACUCGGAAUCACUGGGCGUAAAGCGCGCGCAGGCGGCCUUGUAAGUUGGAUGUGAAAGCCUACGGCUCAACCGUAGAACUGCAUCCAAAACUACUCGGCUAGAGUGUGGGAGGGGAAGAUGGAAUUAGUUGUGUAGGGGUAAAAUCCGUAGAGAUAACUAGGAAUACCAAAAGCGAAGGCAAUCUUCUGGAACACUACUGACGCUGAGGCGCGAAAGCGUGGGGAGCAAACAGGAUUAGAUACCCUGGUAGUCCACGCCCUGAACUAUGAAUGUUAGUCGUCGGGAGGCUCGUCCUUUCGGUGAUGCAGCUAACGCAUUAAACAUUCCGCCUGGGGAGUACGUCGCAAGAUUAAAACUCAAAGGAAUAGACGGGGACCCGCACAAGUGGUGGAGCAUGUGGUUUAAUUCGAAGAUACGCGAAGAACCUUACCUAGCCUUGACAUUGAUAGAAUCCGGUAGAGAUACUGGAGUGCCCUUCGGGGAGCUUGAAAACAGGUGCUGCACGGCUGUCGUCAGCUCGUGUCGUGAGAUGUUGGGUUAAGUCCCGCAACGAGCGCAACCCUCGUCACUAGUUACUAACGGUUCGGCCGAGGACUCUAGUGAGACUGCCUUCGUAAGGAGGAGGAAGGUGAGGACGACGUCAAGUCAUCAUGGCCCUUACGGCUAGGGCAACACACGUGCUACAAUGGCCAGGACAGUGAGACGCAAUACCGCGAGGUGGAGCAAAUCUAUAAACCUGGUCUCAGUUCGGAUUGUAGUCUGCAACUCGACUACAUGAAGCUGGAAUCACUAGUAAUCGUAGAUCAGCUAUGCUACGGUGAAUACGUUCCCGGGUCUUGUACUCACCGCCCGUCACACCAUGGGAGUUGAUUUCACCCGAAGCGGGGAAGCUAAACUGGCUACCCUCCACGGUGGGAUCAGCGACUGGGGUG